UACGUAGGGUGCGAGCGUUGUCCGGAAUUACUGGGCGUAAAGAGCUCGUAGGUGGUUUGUCGCGUUGUUCGUGAAAACUCACAGCUUAACUGUGGGCGUGCGGGCGAUACGGGCAGACUGGAGUACUGCAGGGGAGACUGGAAUUCCUGGUGUAGCGGUGGAAUGCGCAGAUAUCAGGAGGAACACCGGUGGCGAAGGCGGGUCUGUGGGCAGUAACUGACGCUGGGGAGCGAAAGCGUGGGGAGCGAACAGG
rnacentral:rRNA from 1 species